AUUAUAGUCCGCCCAGACGGUUCCCCCGAAGUCCGCAAGGGUGAAGGGGGUGAAUAUGGGAAGCCGGUGCGAUUCCGGCGCUGCCCCCGCAACUGUAGGCGGAGAGGUUCCGGCCGUUCGCGAUUGCCACUGACCCGUUUGCCAGGAUAUCCACCGGCGAACGUUUCCAAGGUCGGGAAGGCUAUGCCGGAACCCUUGACCCGCGAGCCAGGAGACCUGCCGUCGAACCCGCGUGCGC
rnacentral:ncRNA from 1 species